rnacentral:lncRNA from 1 species
ACAUCAUCAACACAGCCCAGAAACCAUUAACACCCAAUCUGCCGCAAGCAAGGAAAAGGGACAGAUUCACUCAAUUGUUUGGCUCUUCAUUCUGAGUUGUUGAACAAUUUUAGGUGUAUUCUAUCUUAUAUUUCAAUGUCUAAUUCAUGUAAUCUUUGUUUUGCUUUAAGUAUGAUUGGCUAAAUUCGUUUUGGCUAAGGGUGUAUUCAAAACCAUGAUUAUAUAUGUGAAAUAAGUUGAUUACUUCCAGUUAUCGUUGCAUAAGUCGUGAAUACAAUUUGCUUAACCAUUUGAUUUAGAACUUAUUCUUGUAUGUUGAUUGAGAGUGCACGCUUAAUUUGCAUGCUUGAAUUUGGUGCUAGG